rfam:Ictidomys tridecemlineatus contig089363, whole genome shotgun sequence.
GGGGUUGUGGCUCAGCGGUAGAGCGCUCACCUAGCAUGUGUGAGGCACAGGGCUCCAUCCUCAGCACCA